GAUAGGGAUAGUUUUGCACCGUUCAUAUUCAACGUUUGAUCGUUCGUUUUAUUUGAAAUGUUUUUAUGAUUAGUAUUUUUAUUGUUAUUAGAUGAUAAAAUAUGAAUAGUACUUUAUGUGUAACUAAUUUUUUAAUAUUUUUUAUAAAUUUUUCAAAUAAGAUGGCAGUCAAAUAUUGAAUACGGAUAUCUACAGCUGCACUUAAA
rfam:Oryza punctata chromosome 9, whole genome shotgun sequence.